rnacentral:rRNA from 1 species
UACAGAGGGUGCAAGCGUUGUCCGGAAUUAUUGGGCGUAAAGAGCUCGUAGGCGGUUUGUCGCGUCUGCUGUGAAAACUGGAGGCUCAACCUCCAGCCUGCAGUGGGUACGGGCAGACUAGAGUGCGGUAGGGGAGAUUGGAAUUCCUGGUGUAGCGGUGGAAUGCGCAGAUAUCAGGAGGAACACCGGUGGCGAAGGCGGGUCUCUGGGCAGUAACUGACGCUGAGGAGCGAAAGCGUGGGGGAGCGAACAGG